ensembl:snRNA U2 U2 spliceosomal RNA
AUCGCUUCUCGGCCUUUUGGCUAAGAUCAAGUGUAGUAUCUGUUCUUAUCAGUUUAAUAUCUGAUACGUCCCCUAUCUGGGGACCAUAUAUUAAAUUGAUUUUUGGAAUAGGGAGAUGGAAUAGGGGCUUGCUCCGUCCACUCCACGCAUCGACCUGGUAUUGCAGUACCUCCAGGAACGGUGCACCCCUG